rnacentral:rRNA from 1 species
ACCAGACUCCUACGGGAGGCAGCAGUCGGGAAUAUUGCACAAUGGAGGAAACUCUGAUGCAGUGACACCGCGUAUAGGAAGAAGGUUUUCGGAUUGUAAACUAUUUUAGACAGGGAAGAAAAAAGACAGUACCUGUAGAAUAAGCCCCGGCUAACUACGUGCCAGCAGCCGCGGUAAUACGUAGGGGGCAAGCGUUAUCCGGAUUUACUGGGUGUAAAGGGGGCGCAGACGGCGAUGCAAGCCAGGAGUGAAAGCCCGGGGCCCAACCCCGGGACUGCUCUUGGAACUGCGUGGCUGGAGUGCAGGAGGGGCAGGCGGAAUUCCUGGUGUAGCGGUGAAAUGCGUAGAUAUCAGGAGGAACACCGGUGGCGAAGGCGGCCUGCUGGACUGCAACUGACGUUGAGGCCCGAAAGCGUGGGGAGCAAACAGGAUUAGAUACCCCGGUA